AGCGAACGCUGGCGGCAGGCUUAACACAUGCAAGUCGAACGCAUCCUUCGGGAUGAGUGGCAGACGGGUGAGUAACACGUGGGAACGUACCCUUCGGUUCGGAAUAACUCUGGGAAACUAGAGCUAAUACCGGAUACGCCCUUUUGGGGAAAGGUUUACUGCCGAAGGAUCGGCCCGCGUCUGAUUAGCUAGUUGGUGGGGUAACGGCCUACCAAGGCGACGAUCAGUAGCUGGUCUGAGAGGAUGAUCAGCCACACUGGGACUGAGACACGGCCCAGACUCCUACGGGAGGCAGCAGUGGGGAAUAUUGGACAAUGGGCGCAAGCCUGAUCCAGCCAUGCCGCGUGAGUGAUGAAGGCCUUAGGGUUGUAAAGCUCUUUUGUCCGGGACGAUAAUGACGGUACCGGAAGAAUAAGCCCCGGCUAACUUCGUGCCAGCAGCCGCCGUAAGAC
rnacentral:rRNA from 1 species